ACAUAAAUGUGCGCUGCAAUUGAAAAAGUGUGUACUCUGCAAAUGUUGUCUUUCACUUGCUUGUGCAGAAUUUGUUGCUUACCGCCACAAUCAGACAUGACAAUUCACAACAAGUGGGAUAAAAAUUCACUGAAUAACUCACUAUGAUCUUGUUUAAUGCUUGUACUUGCUAUGACGUACAUAACAGAGUGCUGGAAACACUACUGAAUGAAUGCUCAUUGGUUGGUGGAGAAUGCAUGACCUAAUUGCGCAAAACAAGCCUAAACUAAUCACCAUUGUUCAUGACUUCACCUACAAUAUUAAUGCGUGCAUGAUGCACAUUACUCCAUAGUGGUGUGCUGUGAAAUAAAAGUAUCUUAUAGGUUGCAGAGUGAAAGGCUGGAGUGAGUGUUACAGGGAGAAGAAGAGAGAUGCAGAUAGGUUAACACAGAAUAUUUGUUGUGAUUCAUUGAAUACAACCGUAAAUGACUGUGUGAUAUUCUUUUUUCAAACAAACGCUCAUUGUAUUUGGCCGUGGGUGAAGUAAAGCUUUGUUGAGGUUAAUUGCGAGAGCACUUGUUGUUUUGAGCAGUGUGCAAAGAUUAAUAAAUAUUAAUUCAAGCAUUUUGGUACAGUUUCUGCCUGUUAUGUGGUUCUUUGGAGGUAUGCUUAGUUUAAUAAUGCUGUAUAGCUGGGUUACAAAUGUGUAUCUGUUUAUGCAUAUGAGAAUGUAAUUAAUAUAGGAGCAGUUUGGCACAGUAUACUAUUGGAAGCUUUGUCUGUAUUUCUUUGCAUGAUGGAGAGGAGAAGAUGAUGUGGUACAUAAUGGGCUCAUUGCAUGAUUUGAGCAUGCUUUCAUGGUUAGGUGAUAUGCUAUAUGAGGUUCAAUCUGACAUGUAUACUGAUGUCCAUGACUGGUGUGGGAGGUAUGGUACACUUGCUUUAUGGAUUGGUUAAUUUUUUUGCAUUAUUUUUGAAUUGUUAACACUAAAAUAGCAGUGUUCUUUUAUGCAGUUGUGUAUGACCCUUUUAUACAUAUAAGUAUUUAUUUUCAGAGGAAACAGUUGUGGUUGUGAUGGAAGGCUGUGUUAUGACGUACACAUUGUAAGGACCAGGAGCAACUGCAAAUAUUUGAUAAGUCACCAAAAAACAUACAUUUAGGGGAGAAUAAUUGGAACAGCGGCAGCAAAAUGAUAGUAAGAGUUUAAAAUGACAGGAAGGAGAUUGAGCAGCUGCAGUUGAAAAAGGAUGAAUAGUUGCCAAUGAGCUUCGUUAGUUUUGUGCGUUAUUUGUGACUUUGAGAAUGUGUUCCCAGAUGGAUUGUAUAAUUUGUCCAUUGCAUGUAAUUUCAUCCUGAUAGUGAUACAAGAUGUUGCAGACGAAGCAGAAAAGCUAGUCGUGUUAUGACACUCCAUCAAGUGCAGCUCUGUUAUGAUUUCUUUCAGUGAAGUGGCAUGAGGAAAUCGAUUGUGAUUGCUGUUUAUUAAAACAAAAAGAUUCUUUGCCUAUUAAGGUGCACUGAUAGUUUCUCAUUAGGCAGUAUCCAGUUUUUGUUUUUGGAAGUGGUGGAGUUUGUUUCAGGACAAAUGUGUGUGCAGAAAAAAUAUGACAAUUGCUGUUGGAGCCAUAUUGCUUUAUUUAAUGUGUUGGUCACUACAGGUGUCAUGGAGAAUCAAUAUAUUGGGCUGAAGCUGAUAUUCAUGUGAUGUAAAUAUUUUGUAGAUAGUGGAGCAAAUAAAAUUGGGGCAAAGAACAGAAUUCCAGGGCACUAAGAAGCACACAAGAGGAAUGGAAAUGCAGUACUAACUUCACUAUAACAGAUGUGUAAAGUGACCACGAUUAAUCUUUAUGCGAUUUUGGGUUCUGGUCAGCAAGUAUCUGAAGGUGAAUCAAAGCUGGACUGUUGGAAUGGCUGCAGUCUCAUUCAAAAUAUUCUGCUGCAGUUCUUGAAGGCAAUGAGGGUUGUUGUGAUACACCUUAGACUUGAUGGCUUGCUAUGCAAAGGUAUCGCACACUAACAGAUCAGGUGACAUGGAUGGCCAGCUAUUUCCACUACCAGAAUGACCUCUUAUAACAUCUGUCAGGUCUGAAGUUUGUGUAAGUUCACUCAAAGGCCUUUCCAGCUGUAUGGGCAUAUAUCCGAUUUUAUUGGAAGUACGUAUAGGUUAUUUUCUCCUCAGUUAAUGCUACCACAAAUAUACCUCAAGAUGUAUCUAAUCAUCCAGGCCACUUCUACCUGGUCCACCCUGGUAUUUACGUAUGGCUUUAAUUACAGUGAAUAUAAUAUGUAGAUUGUGUUCCUUGAUUUUGUCUAAUGGUAUUUCAUGUAUAAUGAAUGGUACACCAUUCGUAGUGUCAUGUUGCAAAGUAGAGGCAGCCAGUGGGAUGCAGAGUAAUGGAUUGGAGUGAGUGUCAGAGGGUGAAGAGGAGAAUGCAGAUUCGUUAACAAAGAAUAUUUCUAGUAAUUCAUUGAAACUGUAAGUGAUGGCAUACUACUGUUGUAGUAUUGAAUAAUUUGCAGUAUUUCAGAAUAGUUGAGUGUUGUAUGUUACUGAACAGAGUAUAGAGGUAUGUGUUUUAUUAGUUCUGCACCAUCAGUGUAAUAAAUAUUGUGCCAAAUAGGAUGAAUAAUCAUGUGAAUGAGUAGAUUGACUGUGCUUCAGUUUCAGUCAUAUGGAAAACAUUUAUGUUCAGGAUUGAAAUCUUAAGAGCAUUGGUGUAGAUUGUGGUUUUAUUGCACUGAAAGGAUGCUUUGUAUGUUUGGCAGGAAUUUGAAUUUAGCAUGCUUGCUUCAUUACUGUGCUUGCUGCACAAGGUUCAGUCAAACAGUGUAUGCUAAUGUCCGUCAUUGGCAUGAGAGGUAUUGUACACUAGCAUUAUGGAAUGGUUAAUUUUUCUCAUUUCAUUGCUGAAUUAUUAGCGGCUGAAAUGACCGUGUUCUAUUAUGCUGUUGUGUGUGAUCCUUUUGUAUGGGUCACUCUGUAUUCAUUUAUUUUCAUAGAAAAUUAUUGGUGCUAUAACGAAAGGAUACGUUACGGCAUGCGUGUCGGAAGGAGCAGGAGCAACUGAAAAUACUCCAGUGUGUACCAAAAGACAUAAAUUUCGUGGAGAAUAGUUGGGACAGCAGCAGCGAAAUGAUAGUGUUUCAAAUGACUGGAAUGUGACUGAACAGAAUGAUAUUGAGGAGGAGUAGCUGUCAGUUCGUUUAGUCUUUACUGUGUUUCCCUAAGUAGGAGAAUGUUUACCUAGCAGUUAUAUAUAAUUUGUUGAAUUGUCUUAUAGCAAUAUGUGCUGUGACAGAUAAAGCAGAUAAGUUGUAUCCAUGUUGCGACACUUCAUCAAAUGCAGCUGUGUUGUGAUUUAUUUCAGUGAAGUGGCAUGAGGAAACUGGCGGUGCUUGUGUUGAUUACACCAAAGUGAUGGUUUUUCUGGUAAGGUGAUGCUGUUUCGUUAGGCAGUAUCCAUUUUUUGGAGUUGGAAGUGAUGGGUUUUUUGCAAUAGGAAUGUGUGUGUCUAGAGGAAAGAGGACUGUUGCUUUUGCUGCCAUGAUAUUUUAUGUAAUGUAUUUAUUGGAAGGGGUGUCAUGGUGAAUUAAUGUAUUUGGCUAAAUUUGAAAUUUUUGUGAUGCUUAGUAAUAAAUAUUAGUACUUAAAUAUGGUUUUAACUACUGUGUAUGCAACAUGUACUUCGUGUAACUUGAUUUUGUCUAACAUUAGUGCAUGCAUAAUGUAUGUUAUUUCCCUUCACCGUGUCAUGUUGUGAAAUGUAGGUAGCUUGUAGGUUGCAGGGUGAUAUAUAAAAGUGAGUGUAGGAGGGAGAAGAGAUACAGGUUGGUUAAGACAGAACAUAUCAAGUGUUAUCAAAGCAGGAAAAGAGUAGCUAGCAUUUACUACAAAGUUUCGUGCAGUAGAGUCCUUGAAUAUAAAUUUCUCAGUUCACUUGCCGCAUCAGUUUCGGAUAAAAUUCCAAGCUUUGGAUGAUAAUUACUAUCACCUUCGUUAGUGACUGAAACUGAUUGUCAUGUGCUGGCAGGGUACAGGAGGACGGAGUUAGCCUUUCUUAGAUGUGUUGGUUUUCAGCAGUCAGAUGCACAAGUGGGCCGUUCUGUGUACAGAAAACCAAUGUAUAUUAAACUGUAUCUCAGUGGGCAGAGCUUUCACCAUCUAGCUCAGAACAUAGCUAUACUGAGCAUCUUAGUCCACAGAGCCAGAACUAUUUUGUACAUGGGCCACCUCGGUUCCAAGAUUAAGCAACUGAAAACAAUGUUUUGAAGGAACAGGUGUUUUGUCUCUAACAUUAGAUCAACCCUGUUGGGAAAAACCAAGAUACAACUUCAUUCAAACAAGCCAAGAGGACCAACACACAGCAUGGAUUGCAUUCUACGGUGCAAUUAGUCCAGAACAGGCAAGAAAUGGACCAGUCUUCUGGGCACCUAGGAAUAUUAAACAAAUGUUGCAAUCCAUUAAUGAUAACAUUGGGCUGAGAGUUAUGGGAAUUUAUAACAUUGCUUGUAAGUGUGGCAAGAGUUACAUGGGCCAUUCCAUACUGACAGUUACCAAUUGUUGUCGAGGAUCAACAUCUCCACAAAUAUAGGCAUUUGCAUUAAUGAGCAGUGGCAGAUGACAUUCUGUAAAAUAAGCACAAGGUUUUGCUUGAACAAACAAGAAUACUGGCUCACACUUUGAACUAUUGGGAAUCUGUGAUAACAGAAGCUGUUAAAACCAGAUUUUGUUAAAACAACUUCAAUACAGGCAAUGGCUGUGCUCUUAGUAACGUAUAGAAUCAUGCACUUGACAAGGAAAAUACAGAGGAAUACUAGCUGCAGUUCACUGCCUGAUGCAAUGGAUGGUGCUACAAGCAACACUAGAAGAGUGUGCUAGCAAAAUCUAGUGAUGUAGUAUGUGCCACCUCUCUAUGUACCAUAAUGAUGUAAUUUUAGCCAGUUGGAUUCUAUGCUGAGGCUAUAAUGUUGUCAGUGCAGAUAGUUGUAAUAGUUGUAGAGUACACUGAUGCCCAAAGGUCAGUGACAGCCUGCAUAAUUGAGGUAGGAAAUUUGUAAGAGGGUCACAAGUGAAUGGUGGCAUACUGUCAUAGCACUGAAAUGUUUGGCAGUAUUUGAGAAUGAUUAGAAUAUUUCAGUUACAGUAAGUGUUGUGUGUUACUGGACAGGUUAUAGGUAUGCAUUUCAUUAGUGGCAUUUGCAAACACUGUAAUUUUUACUUGUCUCUUAGCAUGAAUAGUCAUACUGUGAAUGACAAGAUUCAGUCUGCUUAAGUAUCAAAUAUUUGGAAUGGAUGUAUGUUCAGGAUGCAAUUGAUCACAGCAUUGGGUAAACCAAUGGUUUUAUUGUACUGGAACGGUGCCUUGCAUGUGGUGACAAAUUUGAUUUCGGUGUGGUUGCUUGGGGAUUUGGUUUGCUGUAUGAGGUUGUCAGACAUGCUAUGCUAAUGUCCAUCACUGGCAUGAGAGGUAUGAUACACUUGCAUUUUGGAUGUAUUAAUUUUUCUUGCUUUAUUGCUGCAUAAUGGACAGCUGAAAUAACAAUGUUCUUUUAUGCUAUUAUAGGUGACCCUUUUGUAUUCAUCACGGAGUUUUUUAUUUUCAUAGGAAUUAGUUAUGGAGGUGUGGUGUGAAGUCUCAAUCAUUGGUUUAUUUUGGGAUUGUGUUUUGAGUGACAUUUCUGUAUUUCUAUAGCUUGCAGGAGUUUAGUUGUGGUGUGCAUCAGUUAAUAACAAUAUAGUAGCAGCUGAGAGGGUAUGGUAUUUACUUUGCAGAUAUCAGCAAUAUGGAUUUACCUGUAUGAAGGACUAGUAUGGCAUACUUUAUAAAGAAUCAUUCUUGUGGAAUGUGUGCUUUGAGAGAAUCUAGUGGUUUUUAAUGUGAUCUGAGAUGAAUGUUGUAUGUGCUACCAUUUGGCAAUUGUUUCAAAAAUUUGUACUCAUCUAGUGGACAUGAAGUGAUGAUUUAAUUACUUGAAAGUUGUUUGCAAAGAGUUACUAGCAACCUAAGCAGAUGUGAGUAUAUCAUCAGGUGCUAGUCAUAGUAGCUAGGACAAAUCAUUAUCUAAAGCUUUGAAAAUGCACAACAGUGUGCUGCCGAAUAAUGUUAUUUUAUUUUGAUACCAGUUUCAGUUCUGAACAAUCAUCAGGGAAAUUACCAUAAAUGUAUUACAUAUUAUAUGUGUAUUAAAAAUAAGCUGUCACAGGAUAUCAUAAUUGUAAAGAUAAUAUAAAAUUGAAAAUUGUAACAAGAUAAAAAUAUGAUGGGUUGUGAUAAAUUUGCCAUAAUUUUCCCACCAAUGAUACUGGUUCAGACUGAAGUUGCUAAAAAAAAAAAAAUCUGAAAGCACAACAUUACCCAAAUUUUUAAAAGUUUGCAGAUGCUAUUGACCAUCACCUGAGCAAGAUGUUCAUUAUCUAAGUCAUCAAUGAUGCAAGGAAAAAUUUCAUUAGUUGUCACUGAUGAAAUCUGUUGUGUCUAUAUUCUAUAACUACUGGUAGAAACAAUAAGUAAUUGCUAUAGUGUGGUAAUUACUGUAGUGUGAAGCAGGCAUAUGAUGCGAAGUUGAUAUGUUGGUGACAUUGUGUCAGAGGAAUAACUAGAUGGCUUACUAAAAUAUAAAAUUCUGUUUCACUGUUUGUGUGGCCAUAUGCACUGGUACUUCUAGUGGUGACUAUGUUGUAUGCUGUUGUUUCAUGGAUUUCAUUCUAGGGUGUUGUGUAAACACAUGCAAGAGGUGUCUAAAAAGAUAGUUCAUUGUGUGAACGAUGUAAGUGGAUUGUGAAAGCAGCUUUGAAAUGUUGGCAGUGCAGAUAGUUGUAGACCGCCUUUACGCAUUGGUGCCCAAGGAUCAUUGCUGAACUGCGUAAUUGGCAUAGAUGAUGGAACACUACAAGAGAGUGGCAUGAUAGUUAACUGAAAUUGCAGUUGUAUUUGAAAGUAUUUGUGUCAUAGGAUUUGUUGUGUGCUAUUAAAUGGAGUAGGGGUGUGUGUUUCAUUAAUUUUAUACCAUCACUUUCUGUAGCUACCACUAACAUUUGUUGUUACUCUUGGGAUGAGUAGUUGUAAUGUGAAUGAUUGGAUUUACUGUGCUUAAAUUGCAAGCAUUUGGAGGGAAUUCAGUCGGUCACUAAAUUGGUGGAUUUCAUACAGUUAUUAAAUUUGAUUUGAGUGUGUUUGCUUGGUUAUGUGGUUUGCUGCAUGAGGUUCAGUCAGGCAUCAUGGGCAUGAGAGUUAUGAUAUACUUACAUUACGGAUUGGCUAAUUUUUCUUGCGUUAUUGCUGGAUUGUUAACAGUUCAAAUGACAGUGUUCUGUUAUGCUAUUGUUUAUGACCUUUUAAUUAUUAUUAUUAUUAUUAUUAUUAUUAUUAUUAUUAUUGUUAUUAUUUUAUUUUUAGAGGAAAUGUUUGUGCAUAUAAGAGAAGACUGUGUUAUACGUACCUGUUGGAUGGUGCAGAAGAAAAUGCAGAAGUAGUAGUAUUAGACAAAAAAUGUAACUACAGGAGAACAGGUGGAACAGUAGUUAAAAAGAUGGUGUGUGUCUUAAAUGACUGAAAUGGGAUAGAUGCUAUCAGAGCGUUCCAUUAGUGUGCGAUUGUGUCUUCAGUGACUAGGACAAUAUAUAUGUAAUUUGCUCCAUUGGAUUCAGUUUCUGCCUUAUAGCAACAUGUGAUUCUUGUUGAUGAAGCAGAAAAAUUGAUGCCAUGUUUUUAUACUCCCUCAAGUGAAACACUGUUGUGAUUUGGUACAGUAACAAAUAAUUAAAUGGGUUAUUUGUCCAUAAUAACUUAACAGUUGUGGGCAUAGUCAGUUUACAAACACAAGAACAUGAAGAAAAAUUUAGGAGUAAAGAUAAAUUAUUCACAGUACCAUUAGAAAUCUUUGAUGGAGUACAAACAUUUAUCAAUUAACAGUUUUAUAUUAUUUGGCAAUCUUAUAAAAAUGUCUUAAAGCUGAAAAUGGACCAUUAUCUGUUACUCUUUUGUUGCUAAAUUUUAUGUGGGAAUCCUGUCUUUCUCUUGUAAUUACAGAUUUCACUAUUAAUUACCAUAUGCUCCAUAUUUUCUUUUACAAACAGUGUAGUUCUGACAACAUACAAUGAAUUUACUGUUAGUAUGUUAUACUCAAUGAAAUAUUCUCUACAGGACUGCCACUUACAAAUAUUAGAUAUUAUCCUAAUUGCUCUUUUCUGUUCUCUAAAAGCCCUAUCCAUAUAUACCAUUGGUGCCCAACCCCAAAUCUCGAUACCAUAUUUCAGGUGGGAGGGGAUAAUUCCAAAAUAGAUUUGUCUUAAAAUAGGUUGCACUAUUACGCUAGAAAGGUGUUUUAGCCGGUAGGUGUUACAGGAGAUUUUUUACAUGUGUAAGUAAUGUACUCCUUCCAUGUAAGAUGUUCCUAUACUAUAAUACCCAGGAAUUUAUGUUUAUCAAUUGUUUCAACUGAUAGCGCUGUUUCUGUAUCCACUUGUCUUGAUUUAUAAUUUAGUAGAAACUCCAUCAGAAAUGAAGAAACUGAUUGUGAGUGCUGUGAGUAAACCAAACUCUUUCUGUACUGAGGUAUGAUGAUGGUUUUUCAUUAGGUAGUAUCCACUGUGUUGUGGUUGAAAGCGAUGGAGUUAUCAUUGGAUGUUUCAGGACAAACGUGUAUGCAAAGUAACGAGGAAUAUUUCUGUUGGAAUUCUGAAGUUACAUGGAAUGUACUUAUUGCUACAGGUGUCAUAAAGAAUUAGUACGCUGGUCACACCAAAAGAAAUGCACACUAGUUUUUUUUUUAAAAUCCAUCUUUUAUUCUACAUGUUCAAAAGUUUUACAAUGUGUAGGUACAUCCUUUAGGAACAAUAUUUUCAUUUCUCUACAUAAUUUCCAUCCCUCUCAACUGCCUUACCCAUCUUGGGAUUAGCGCCUGUAUAUCCGCACGGUAAAAUUCUGGGCCAACCUGUUGGAGCCACUGUUUGGCAGCAUGCACAAGGGAGUCGACAUCUUCCAACCUUCUUCCAUGAAGAGAGUCUUUCAGUUUCCCAAAGAGAUCAGUCACAUGCAGCCAGGUCAGGAUUUAAGGCGGGUGUUUCAGUGUUGUCCAUCCGAGUUUUGUGAUCGCUCCCAUGGUUUUUUGACUGACGUGGGUGUACAUUGUCGUGCAACAGCAAAACAUCCUGCUUUUGCCGAUGUGGUCGAACACGACUCAGUUGGGCUUGAAGUUUCUUCAGUGUCAUCCCAUAUGCAUCAGAAUUUGUGGUGGUUCCAGUUGGCAUGAUGUCCACAAGCAAGAGUCCUUCAGAAUCGAAAAACACUAUAGGCAUAACUUUCCCAGCAGAAGAUGUGGUUUUGGUUUUAUUUUUUUUACCCCACCCCAUGGGUGAAUUUGCAUGAUGCCACUCCACUGAUUACCGCUUUGUCUGGUGAAAAAUGAUGGAGUCAUGUUUCAUCACCUGUCACAAUUCUUCCAAGAAAUUCAUCUCCACCAUUUUUGUACAAUUCCAAAAGUUCACUGCAUACCGUUUUUCUUGUUUCUUUGUGAGCCACUGUCAACAUCCUGGGAACGCACCUGGCACAAACCUUUUUAACGCCAACGCUUUCUGUAUUUUGCAAACACUUCCUUCCCCUAUCCCAAUGUAGCAUGACAAUUCAUUCACUGUGGUGCAUCUUGUCAGCAGUCACCAAUUCGUUAACUCUCUGCACAUGGUCUGGAGUGUGUGCAGUACGAGGCCUGCUACUGUGAGGACAAUCCUCAAUAUUGCCGAGCCCGCUUUCAUCGUGUAACCUGCUUGCCCACCGACUAACUGUACUGCUAUCAACAGCAGCAUCUCCAUACACCUUUUUCAACCUCUUGUGGAUGUUUCCCAUUGUCUCGUUUCCACAGCACAGGAAUUCUAUGACAGCACAUUGCUUCUGACGAACGUCAAGUGUAGCAGCCACCUUGAAGAUACGCUGUGACGGUGCCACUCAUGGGAACAGGUUGAACUAAGUUUGAAAACAAGUGCAAAGGAUGUAUCUACACACUGUGAAACUUUUCACACAUGCAGAAUGAAAACUGUAUUUUUACAAAAAUAGUGUGCAUUUCUUUUGGAGUGACCCUCGUAUAUUCGGCGAAGGAUGAGAUUUGUGUGAUGUGUAAUAGUAAAUUCUUCAUAUUCCUCUAUACUUUUAAUUAUGAGUGCAAUUUGUAUAUUGUGUAACUUGGUUUUGUCUAAUAUUAGUUUGUGAUAACAUGUAUUAAUCUGUUCAUAGCGUCACACUGUGAAAUAUAAGUAGGUUGCAGAGUGAUUGACUGGGCUGAAUGUAGGAGCGAGAGGAGAAGAGGUUGCGGGUUGGUUAACAUGAUGUCUUUGUAGUGAUACAUAGAAUCCGAGUCUCAGAAUAGGGAGGUUGCCGUGUUUGCAGAAGUGUUAAUAAGCAUGUAGACAGUGUAAUUUUGUUUGCAAAGGAGACAUUUAUUGCAUUUUGUUGUGUGCAAAUGCUUUGUAAAGUUAAUUGUGGCAGUACUUGUUUGAGUAGUGUUCAGGUAUGAAUUUCGUGGUAACUUGAGCAUCUUGGUUCCAUUUUUUGUCUAUUAUAUGUUGUUCUUUGCUGCUAUGCUGUUUCAAACUGUCACUUUAUUAAUGUUUUCAAAUGGAUUAAAAAGUUAUGUUGUUUGUGCAUAUGAAAAUGUGUGUAACAUAAAAGCAGUUUGGCACAAAGUAUUAUUGGGAGCUUUGUAUGUAUUGUUUUGUUCGACGGAGGGGAAUAGCUGUUGAACCACAUGAAGGGCUCAGUGCUUAAAUAUUGUAUGGAUGAUAUGCUGAAUAAUUGGCUGAGAUGCAUGCUAAGAGACAAUACUGCUUUUGCGAGGUUUGUGUCAGGGUGUUGGACAUAUUGAUCACUUACAGCCUUAAUUAUUAUUUGUUUAUCAUAUGAUGAAACACAGCAUUGCUUAAGCGUCUGAGUUUAUUGCAUUAAAUCAGUGUCUUUCUUAUAGUGGCAUAAAUUUGAUUCCAUUGUAUUAGCUUUAUUAGGUGCUUUGCUGUACGAGGUUCAGUCAGGCAUGCCACACAAACCUCCAUCACUAGCAUGAGAGGUAUGGUACACUUGCAUUAUGUAUCAGUUAAUUUUUCUUGCAUUAUAGCUGAAUUAUUAAUAGCUGAAACUACAGUGUUCUUAUAUGCUAUUGUCUACAGCCCUUACAUAUAGGUCACUGUAUGUCAUUUAUUUUCAGAAAAAAUGGUUGUGGUUAUAAGGAAGCAAUCUUAUUAUGUACAUGUUGGAAGGAACAGAAACAAAGGCAAACAUAUAAGACAUUGUCAGAAAACAUGCAGUUACAGGAGAAUAACUGGAACAGCAGUUAGAAAAAAUGAUAGUAUACGUUUUAAAAGACUGGAAGAGGAUUGAGCACAAUGCAAUUAAAUGAAUGUGAGAAGUGUCACAGAGUUCCGUUAGUUCGCUGUUGGAUCAUCCCUUAAUAUGAGGUUUUCCCAGGUUGUAUGUGUUAUGUGUUGAAUUGUAUAUAAUUUCUGCCUAUAGUGAUAAGAGGUCGCAGAAGCAGCAGAAAAAUUAACGUAAUGUUAUACUCUUUUAAGUGAAACUCUGUUGUGAUUUGUUUCAGUAAUGUGGUACAAAGAAAGUGACUGUAAGCGCUGUUGAUGAAAGAAAAUGACUCUUCCUGUGCUACGGUAUUGUGAUGGUUUUUAUUAGGCUAUAGCCAGCAUGCUGUGGUUGGAAGUGGUGGGUUUACCAAUGGAUGUUUCAGGACAGAACGAGUAAUGAAAGUUGGAAAAUUGAAAGUUUUUCCUGCAGCAGUGUUGUCAUGUGUCUACACUCAAUGUGAGAUAUGGCAGGAAUGAAAGGGGAUGUGUCAGCUACUAGUUUUAUGCAUCUAAUGAUAGUGGUGGUGAGCAGAUGAUAUGUUUUGAAGAAAGACACAUUUAAAUGUCUCACAUCACUGUGGAAAUGAAAUCCAAUAUGUAUUUGGCAGAAAGCAACUGCUUUCUUAGAUCCCAACAUAACCACAAUCUCAGAAACUGUGACAUAUUUGGAAGGCACAGUCAAUGAAGAUGUAAAUUUCCCAGCUGUGCUAUUGGGAUGACAAUGUGAUUAAAAAGAGUGAGACUCCAGAUGACAUGCUUAGAAAUCAAAAGAUAGUGAAGGGACAUUGCAAUAAACCUGCUACUACUACUGAAUACCUGGAGGAAGGAAAAAGUUACUGGGAACUGUGCGCUAAACAGUGAGGAAUGUUCGCAAAAUAAAGACAAGGCAACAAGGAACCAACCUUAACAAUCAAGGGGAGUAAAUGCAAGAUAGCCCAAGACUGUUGCUGUAAUUACCUCCAAUGGAAAAUAGCUUUCAAAGCCAACAAGUGUGGCUGUGUGCACAGACACCACAUAUGUCAGCUGUUGUAGGUUGAGAAAUUUGUUGAUUGGGAUCAGAUUGUGUACUGUGUCUGUGUAUAUUGCAUAAACUGUACAUAAAGUUUUUUUCUGUUUUUGAAAAUAGUUGAUCUUAGAUUGUCAUUUACUGUGGCAAUGUUCAGAGAUAUUAAAUGUAUUAUGUAAGAGUAAAUGUAUUUGGAUUUUCCAUUAAACAAAAACAAAGAUGUUAACUUAGUUGGGUAGUAGUACUUGCUGUGUUUGUGGUUUCCAGUGUUGUGAUGCGUGGUAGAGGAACAAGGAUGAUUUGUUGGAUAGUUGGUAGAGGAAAUGAAGUUGGAUAUGUUAUUGUGGAGAAAAACUGUUAAUUUAGUUUCAUAGCAAUCUGCUGUACUUUCAUCUGUUGCCAAGAGAAAUUUCAGGUCUUUGUGGACAGAUGACCGUGACAUGAUGUUACGGUAGAACUGUUACAUUUAAUCUGAGAAUGGGUGCUUGUUCUCUUGAUAUGUGUAUUCAACAGGAAGAACAAUAUCACGAGGUUGAAUGCAAUAAUUCAGGAUAAUAGUUAAAAUUUGAAAUAGCUAGUUCAUUUGUUCAUUAUUUAUCUCGUGUCUCUUAAUUUUGAAAUGCUCUGCAAUUAUAACAGACCGGUACAGGCACGACUGUGGUAUCAGAAUUGCAUGUAACAUCACUGUUUAUGAAGUAUAAACCAUAAAUAGAUGUAAACAAUUGAAUAGUGUCCAGAAUUAUUAUUCGAACUGUUGAAAUGUGCUCUUUUGUCUUUAGAGGCAUGCAAAUAUUACUGAGCAUGCACAACAUUCAGCACAUCUGGUAUAUGAGACUUUUGAAAAGUGAUUGAAAAGUAUUAGAGAUACACUGUUAUCAAAUGUAUGUUUAAAAUUGAAAUGGAGAACUGUUAAGUGCUUCAGCAAGGACUGUUAGCAGAUAUCCUUAACACAAAUGGGUCACAGGGCAGCCGUGAAAGUAACAAGUUGUACUCUACAUAACUUUAAAAAAGUUAAAUGUAACUUUUCCAAGUAGCUAAUAGUGACUCAUAUAAACUUGUCACUGUUAGUAAUAAUUUCUUGACUUCCAUUGUAAAAAGUUGAAACAUUAGUCCCCAUCAUUUGCAUACUAUUUCUAACUGCUGAAAUAAUUUCCCUGCUUCACAGACCUCUGUAGUAUUAUAAUGUCCGGUUUUCUAAAAAGAGUGAAGCAACAUUUCACAGUGAAAUACAAGAUAUGAAUGAUGGUAAUUUGGAAAUAUUUUCGUAAUAUUUUGUGUAUUUGUCAGGAAGUUAAACAUAAUUAAUACCUAUAGUAAACAUUUAAUGAUGCUGCAACUGUUUCAUGUCAUCACUUUAUAAAUGAAAACAAAGUAAAUAGUACAGUCUCAUGUCCUUUUUUAAAUACAUUGUUCUUUGAGAAAAUGAGAAUUAAUAUUUUCAUCAGCUAGUUAUGUGAUGAAAAUUUUUGUAUGGCUUGGUUAUGAAGAAAAACAAGGGGAUUGUUUAUGGUGAUGUUAAUAGUAAAUUAAUAGUAUGAACUACACAAGUGAGAAUGUAAUGUGCGAAAGAAAUGCUCCUUAAAUAGUGAAGUUAUCAAGUAAAAGGAAGUUAACAAAUGGUUUAUCUAUACUUGCUCUCAUUUUAGGUUAUGAUGAUGUUGAUAAUUUUGUAUUGUAUACUGGUGACAAAUACAAUGACACAAUUACUCUUUCA